UAGUUAUAUAAAACGUAUAUAACGGACCUGAAUAAGGUCGGCGUUAGAUCAUAGGUGAGAUAUGCACAUAUACGAAACUGCGCUUAAUGUUGGUCUGCGGUAUUCCACAGUGACUCUUUCCAUGUAAAUCGCGAAUAAGCGUUAUGCGUCCGUGGAUUAUUCGGUUUUUUGUACCGUUUUGUAUAUUGUAUUAUAUUUAUUGGUUUUCUCGUAUAUAUAUAUAUAUGUUGCAACACAAAUUUAAACCAUGAUCGAAUUCAAAGAUUGUUCUUGAACUACAAGAAAGUUUGAUGCAAUUGUAAGGAGGUUGAUGAUGAUACCAAUUCUUACAGUUAUUGCAGUAAACCAUUUCAGCUCCAGGGAUAUGCGAAAACAAACACAGUAUACACUGAUGACGUAAUGACUUAGUGUACAAACUGCAGAAUUCACACGAUGUGGAAACAUUUCCAAUUUCUUUUGCUUGAAACAUUUCAUCAAAUGGGUACGCAUAUCUUGCUGUAACCACGAAAUCUUGCAAGGGUCUAUCCCCUGAGCAAGUGCGACUGCAUUUGCUAUGCUAAAUAGGCCACAGUCAGAUCCUCCCUUCUGACGCUGUUGAAGUACCACCGUAACGUCAAGUGAGCCAUCGUCAAGACAAAGUCCUUUGUACAAAUUAAUGAUUUGCCGUCUCAAAGAAGCAUUCAAGCUGGUGUUUAGACUUUCAUAGACAAUGACUUUUCCUGUGAUGGAGCUUGACGUGACCCAGUGUAAACCAGUAUUAUGGCAUUGAAUGGUUUGAUUUUGCUCAUGGGGGAGCGCGAAUCUACUGGAGUGACAAAGACUUGUCUUUCAACGAUACACCCUCUUCAUUAGGAUGAUUCUUCCUUGUGUACGCAAUUAUUUCGUCAAGCAUAACCAGGGCUUUACUCAGAACGUUCCUAUCUGUAACCACAUACAGUUCAUCUUGAAGACUCUUCAAUGAUUGGAUGCAUUGCUUACGUAUGUUAGACUUUCUCCGGUGUGUAUUCUGAAUUUGACGAUGGUUUUGUAGCGGAAGAGGAAGACCGUUGAGUUAUCACUUUAUCCAAAGUAAACAGGGGUAC